GACAAGAGCCUGGUCAGUCAGAGAGCUGUCCAGGCUUCAAUGGUCUGUUUUGGCAUGGUUUCUGUGGCUGAAUGCCCUUCCUAACACUAACCACUUUACAGAGUGUGCUGGGUGAU